CCUCACCCCCCUCGUCGCUCGACCUCCGCCCAGCCUCACCUAGCCUCGGCGAUAUUCCUUCUGCCCUGCCGUGAAGAGCCACCACUGGAUUAGGCGAAGCCCUUACCGCCGCCGUGAAGAGCCACCACUGGAGGGGUCGACGUCGCGAAGCCCUUGCCGCCACUCUGCCUUCACCGGCUGAUCUGUCUCUGCAGGAAUUCAACCUCCGCCGUCGGAUUGAAACAAUUAAAUAGGACGCCGUCGGAUUUGGUCACCAACGCUGCUGCCAAGCCCUCUGCCGCCGCCGUCGGAUUCCGCUGCCAAGCUCUCUCCCGCUGCCGUCGAAUUUCGCCGCUGCCAAGUAAUUUUUCUUCUUUAAUUUCAGUGAUUUUUCUUGUCAAUGAGCAUGUAUAUUGGGUGGCUUUUUCCAGAAAUUCUACUACUGAAAUUCCACUGUAAAUUUUGCUUGUAGGCUUUGUCUCAAAAGCUCCGCAAGGAAUUGUAAGAUAUCUCUAUUUCUUUAUUAAUAAAACUUGCUCAUUUUGUGUGACACAAUUUUAGUUCUAAUCGAUGAUUUUGAAAUGAGAGAUAAAUUUUCAGCUUAGAUUCUUGAAACAAUGGACAAGUGUGGGGGUUUGGGGGAGAGAAGGGCUUGUUUUGCAGAUCUGAAACUGCAAGUGAUGAAGACUUUUAAUUGAGGAUAGCUUGGUUAAUAAAGAUUUUGGAGGUCUCUUUUGCUGCAUUAUGUGAUUUUAUCUCUGUUUUGCAAAUAAUCAAGAAUAUUGUUUCAAAGAUACAUUUGCAGCUGUGAAGUUUUCAGGUUAUUUCGUAUACAGCUAGCAUCUAAUCUCAGUGUUAAAUAAAAAUCUAGUUUUCUAUCUCAAGUGGCUAAACAGCCAUGAUCCAUAUUCCUUCUUCUAGUUCUACUGGUUUGGAUCUUUGUGUUCGUGUGUGUGUGAGAGAGAGAGAGAGAUGAGUUGAGAAACUGUGAUGGAGGUUUGAGGUUUGUUUGUGUGCAGAUAUUUGUGAAAAGUUUUAAGUCAAGUUAAUAAAUGAAAUAGCUUUUCCUAGGCCAACUCAGGGAGCAGGGAUCUCUUAUGUUUCUGUAUUAUUUCUACGUGAUUGAUGAUACUUCCUUUUUCUUGAUUCUGAUUUUUGUAUAGCACUGAUAGUUGUUGNNN
rnacentral:lncRNA from 1 species